UUCAUUUACAAAAGACUUUUAAAAAGUAAAUUUAUUUCACUGUGUUUUAUUCACACAGAAUUAUUCCCUAAUGGAUGUUCAGCCUUCAAGAAUAUUACUCCCAACACUGAUGAAGAAGGAGCAAUGAAAGAGGAUGCUGGAAUGUUGGAUGUCCAUUAUAGUGAAGAAGUUUUGCUGGAGUUGCUGGAACAUUGUGUGGAUGGCUUAUGGAAAGCAGAGCAUUACAAAGUAAUUUCUGAAAUUUCCAAGUUGAUCAUUUCAAUUUAUGAGAAUCGUCGAAAGUUUGAGAACCUUAAGUUUAUAGAACUCUUCAUGGAGCUUACACAUAAAUUUUGGAGGUUAUGCACGCAAAGAAAAGACUUUUAGGCACCUUCUUCAGAGUUGCCUUUUAUGGCCCAGACUCCCUUUGGUGUUUCAUAUGGGGCAAGCCUAGUGGUGUAAAAGCUGGCUUAAAACUCAGCAUUCAAAGAAUGAAGAUCAUGGCAUCCCGUCUCACUACUUCAUGGCAAAUUGAUGGGAAAACAA